rnacentral:rRNA from 1 species
UACGAAGGGGGCUAGCGUUGUUCGGAAUCACUGGGCGUAAAGGGCGCGUAGGCGGCUGUUCAAGUCGGGGGUGAAAGCCUGUGGCUCAACCACAGAAUUGCCUUCGAUACUGGACGGCUCGAGACCGGAAGAGGUCAGUGGAACUGCGAGUGUAGAGGUGAAAUUCGUAGAUAUUCGCAAGAACACCAGUGGCGAAGGCGGCUGACUGGUCCGGUUCUGACGCUGAGGCGCGAAAGCGUGGGGGAGCAAACAGG